GCGGGCAUGAUGUAGUGGUAGCCUGCCAGCUUCCCAUGCUGGACGUGCGGGUUCGAUUCCCGCUGCCCGCUCCA
rnacentral:tRNA from 2 species